AUUGAACGCUGGCGGCAGGCCUAAUACAUGCAAGUCGAACGGUAACAGUAGAAAAGCUUGCUUUUCUAGCUGACGAGUGGCGGACGGGUGAGUAACAUUUGGGAAACUACCUGAUAGAGGGGGACAACAGUUGGAAACGACUGCUAAUACCGCAUAAGACCACAUUGCCGCAUGGCAGAGAGGUCAAAGGAGAAAUCCGGCAGAAGAUGGACUCGCGUCCCAUUAGGCAGUUGGCGGGGUAAAAGCCCACCAAACCGACGAUGGGUAGCCGACCUGAGAGGGUGAUCGGCCACAUUGGAACUGAGAGACGGUCCAAACUCC
rnacentral:rRNA from 1 species